UACAGAGGUGGCAAGCGUUGUUCGGAAUUACUGGGCGUAAAGGGCGCGUAGGCGGUCUUUUAAGUCUUGUGUGAAAUCCCUCGGCUCAACUGAGGAACUGCACGGGAUACUGGAAGACUUGAGUUCGGGAGAGGGAAGCGGAAUUCCGGGUGUAGCGGUGAAAUGCGUAGAUAUCCGGAGGAACACCGGUGGCGAAGGCGGCUUCCUGGACCGAUUACUGACGCUGAGGCGCGAAAGCUAGGGGAGCAAACAGG
rnacentral:rRNA from 1 species